rnacentral:tRNA from 2 species
CAGGGGGUAUAUUAAUAGGUAGAUUGUUCGUUUUGGGAGCGGGAGGUUAUAGGUUCAAGUCCUAUUCCCUUGA